GGCUGGUCCAAGAGCAGUGGUAUUUACAACUAAUUGAUCACAACCAGUUAGACUCCUUUGUUCCUUUCUCCACUCUCACUGCUUCGCUUGACUAAUCUUAA
rnacentral:Y_RNA from 1 species